rnacentral:rRNA from 1 species
CACGCAGGCGGCUUUUUAAGUCGGAUGUGAAAGCCCCGGGCUCAACCUGGGAAUUGCAUCUGAUACUGGGAAGCUAGAGUAUGUGAGAGGGGGGUAGAAUUCCAAGUGUAGCGGUGAAAUGCGUAGAGAUUUGGAGGAAUACCAGUGGCGAAGGCGGCCCCCUGGCACAAUACUGACGCUCAGGUGCGAAAGCGUGGGGAGCAAACA